UACGUAGGGGGCUAGCGUUGUCCGGAAUCAUUGGGCGUAAAGAGCUUGUAGGCGGUUUGUCGCGUCUGCUGUGAAAAUCCGGGGCUCAACCCCGGACUUGCAGUGGGUACGGGCAGACUAGAGUGUGGUAGGGGAGACUGGAAUUCCUGGUGUAGCGGUGAAAUGCGCAGAUAUCAGGAGGAACACCGAUGGCGAAGGCAGGUCUCUGGGCCACUACUGACGCUGAGAAGCGAAAGCAUGGGGAGCGAACAGG
rnacentral:rRNA from 1 species